CUGAGGAUGUGGCUCAGUGGUUAAGUGCCCCUGGGUUCAAUCCCUUGUACCAAAAAUGUGAAAAAUAAAAAAGCUCCAGGGAAGGGAGGUGUAGCUCAGAAGCAGGAUGCUUGUCUAGCAUGCUUGAGGCCCUUGGUUCAGUACUCAGCAUUACAAUAAAGGAAGUCUACCCUGAUUUCUGCCUCCCCACAACUCUUCCUAUUGGGGAUUCUACCCAGUCCUUACGCCUGAUAGGCAAAUGCUCUGCCAUUGAGGUUUUGUUUUUUGAGACAGUCUCCCUAAGUUAUGAGGCUGGCCUUAAACUUGCUCUCUCUCUGCCUCAGCCUCCUAAGACUGAGAUUAUAAGCAUGGGCCACUGUUCCCAGCCCUAAUUUUGCUCUUAAAUGUAGUGUCAUUCCUUCUCAGGCUCUUUUUUUAUAUAUAUGCAUGCUUUCUGUGUUGAUAGUGUGCUGUUGUGAUGGGCAAAAGGUGCAACUUAUGCAGUCCAGAGGGAGAAAUAAAGAAUGUCCAUGUGCUUCUGCCCUAGUCAAUGCUUUAUUCACUUAAAUCAUUCAAUACAGUUUCACUCUAUAGGUUCUUAUUCAAGAAAACGUCAAUCCUUAAUGCUAGGCACUGCAGUAGACAUAAUCACUUCACAGCAAACAAUUCUAGAUUAAUUCUAAGCACUGCAAACACAAUUAUCAUGACAGGCUAAUGACAGACAUUUCUUCUGCAUGCUAAGUUCAAGUGUCAGAUCAAAAGUCUCAAGCUUUAGGCUUUAAGUCUAGCAGAUGCAUGCAUGCACACUCACUCAGACCACGGUGAUCAGAUCAGGAAUCAAGGCAGGCUCUUCCUGGGGUGAGGAGAAGGUCAUAAGGGGAAGUUGUGGCUCUCACCAGAGUCAAGAUGUGGCUGUAGAGUUGGGGAGCUGUGAGGAAAAUACAGAGGAUCAGCAGACGAUGAAAAGUGUUGGGGUGUCAGUCCCAGGUCCUCAUCAGGCUCUCAGCUUGAGGGCAUCAUCAUUGUCAGCUGCCACCCAUCUCUCUCAGUGACAUCAUUUACCCUGGGGUUAAAAUAUCUGGUCUGGUAGUCCCCACCCUGAUCUUUUUGCCUUUUUCUCUUUUCUAUAUUGAGGUUCUGAGAUCAAUUUGAAACAAGCUAUAAAAUAUGAAGAAACUUACUAAUGAACUUCAGAGGCUGAUAUUAGAAGUAGAUCAGAAUUGAGUGUUUUAAGAUGUAUCUGAAUUCCGUAUAACUCAAUUCCCCCAUAAGGUGUACUCAAAAAAAGCCAGUGGACUUGAGCACCUUACUCUUUGUAUCAGGAAUGAUUUGAGUUAUAAGAAGAAGCAUUAUGGUAGCAUAAAUAAGUAUGGGAUUUAUUUUUGUCACUUAAUAGGUCUAGCUAUGAAUGACUAUAGUCAAGAUAUAGCUGGAGUUUCUUUGAUUCUCUUAAGGUUAAAAUAAUUAGCUCCCAUUUUUAAGGCAAGAAGGAGAGCUGAAGUUUUCUAAGAAGUUCCCAGCAGAUUCUUCCUCUAUAUCUCAUUGGCCAGAACUGGAUCCUGUGAUCACCUAUAGCUGGAAAGGAGGAUGAAAAUAAGGAGCAGAGUAGUCUUGACUGAUGUAUACCAGUAGUAGAUCUUUUCAUGGACUAGGCACACUGUUUAUUUAGAAAAUAAGGGAAAAUUGAUAUGGAUUGGAUAGGCCUCUUAUGGGUUUAUCACACAAGAAAAAGCAUUUGUCUGGGUACAGUAGCACACACCUGUAAUCCCAAAGAGUUUGGAGGCUGAGGUGAGAAGAUCAUAAGUUUGUAGCCAGAACAUAGCGAGAUGCUCAGUAACUUAGUAAGACCCUGUUCUCAAAAUAAAAAGGGGCUGGGGAUAUAGUUCAGUUGGUAGA
rnacentral:lncRNA from 1 species